CGCGUAGGCGGCCGAGCAAGUCCUAGGUGAAAGCCCCCGGCUCAACCGGGGAAAUGCCUCGGAAACUGCUCGGCUUGAGUCCCGGAGAGGGUAGCGGAAUUCCCAGUGUAGCGGUGAAAUGCGUAGAUAUUGGGAGGAACACCAGUGGCGAAGGCGGCUACCUGGACGGGUACUGACGCUGAGGCGCGAAAGCUAGGGGAGCAAACA
rnacentral:rRNA from 1 species